AUUGAACGCUGGCGGCAUGCCUUACACAUGCAAGUCGAACGGCAGCACGGGUGCUUGCACCUGGUGGCGAGUGGCGAACGGGUGAGUAAUAUAUCGGAACGUACCUUAUUGUGGGGGAUAACGCAGCGAAAGCUGUGCUAAUACCGCAUAAUCCCUAAGGGGGAAAGCGGGGGACUGUAAGGCCUCGCGCAAUUAGAGCGGCCGAUACCUGAUUAGCUAGUUGGUGAGGUAAAGGCUCACCAAGGCAACGAUCAGUAGCUGGUCUGAGAGGACGAUCAGCCACACUGGGACUGAGACACGGCCCAGACUCCUACGGGAGGCAGCAGUGGGGAAUUUUGGACAAUGGGGGCAACCCUGAUCCAGCAAUGCCGCGUGAGUGAAGAAGGCCUUCGGGUUGUAAAGCUCUUUUGUCAGGGAAGAAACAGCAGCUCUAACACAGUUUGCGAAUGACGGUACCUGAAGAAUAAGCACCGGCUAACUACGUGCCAGCCGCCGCCGCAG
rnacentral:rRNA from 1 species